UACGUAGGGUGCGAGCGUUGUCCGGAAUUAUUGGGCGUAAAGAGCUCGUAGGCGGCUUGUCGCGUCGACUGUGAAAACUCGGGGCUCAACUCCGAGCUUGCAGUCGAUACGGGCAGGCUAGAGUUCGGUAGGGGAGACUGGAAUUCCUGGUGUAGCGGUGAAAUGCGCAGAUAUCAGGAGGAACACCAGUGGCGAAGGCGGCUUCCUGGACCGGUUCUGACACUGAGGAGCGAAAGCGUGGGGAGCGAUCCGG
rnacentral:rRNA from 1 species